GACGAACGCUGGCGGCGUGCUUAACACAUGCAAGUCGAACGGAAAGGCCCCCUUGUUGGGUACUCGUGGGGCGAACGGGGGAGUAACACGUGAGUAACCUACCAUUUACUCUGGGAUAACGGCAGGGAACUGGGGCUAAUACCGGAUAGGAGCUGUUGCUUCUGGGUGGGGGGGGGAGAGUUUCGGCGGCUGGGGAUGGACUCGCGGCGUAUCAGCUUGUUGGUGGGGUAGUGGCUGACCAAGGCUUUGACGGGUAGCCGGCCUGAGCGGGUGAGCGGCCACAUUGGGACUGCGAUCCGGCCCAGACGGCUACGGGAGGCAGCAGUGGGGAAUAUUGCACAAUGGGCGGAAGCCUGAUGGAGCAGCGCCGCGUGCGGGAUGACGGCCAUCGGGUUGUAAACCGCUUUCGCCUGUGACGAAGCGUGAGUGACGGUAAUGGGUAAAGAAGCACCGGCUAACUACGUG
rnacentral:rRNA from 1 species